UAACCUGCCCAAGAGAUCGGGAUAACACCUGGAAACAGAUGCUAAUACCGGAUAACAACAGAUGAUGCCUAUCAACUGUUUAAAAGAUGGUUCUGCUAUCACUCUUGGAUGGACCUGCGGUGCAUUAGCUAGUUGGUAGGGUAACGGCCUACCAAGGCGAUGAUGCAUAGCCGAGUUGAGAGACUGAUCGGCCACAUUGGGACUGAGACACGGCCCAAACUCCUACGGGAGGCAGCAUCG
rnacentral:rRNA from 1 species